CGCAGCGGUCCACCACCCAAUCCACUCAUUCUUACCCCGACCACCCAAUCCACUCGUCCUCUCCCCCAAAAUUUCCCCAAUCUUCCUCCUCACCCCCAAUGUUUCUCCUUCCGGGUCCAAUCCCAGUUCGCUGGGAGUCAAUCCUCCAAUCCAAGCCAGUCUUUGUUCAUCGGGAGAGUAAUGGCGGCCAGUCCAUAUAAAUUCCCAGUAUGGUGUGCACCUCACUGGAGCCAUGGCGGGCGGAGGAGCGGGCGGAGGAGCGGAAGCCGCUGAUGGCCAGCGAGUCGAGGCCGUCGUGACGGCCGGCGGCGCAACACAAGGCCGCGGAGGAUCUGGUUCUGGAGGUCGUCACCAUGCUCGUGUAGUCAAGUUUCGACCACGUUCGCCCUCAUACAUCCGUCGGCGGCGGCAAUUCAGUUGCGGCGCCAAGAUCCUUGACUUGGACGAGGACAUAGGGGCUGAUGGUGAAGCAGGUGUAGGCCGUGGAGGCACUGUACCUGGCGCUGCACCGGGGCAUGCGGCUAACCAGGUCGGCACGGCAGCAGGUGUUGGGCAGGUCAGCGCAUCCGUAGGUGUUGGGCAAGACGGCACAGCGACAUCAGUCCGUCCUACGGUUGACCAUGACGUAGCGGCCGCAGGUGUUCGGGAUGUUGCAGAGAAGAUGCACAAGAACUACUAGCUCCGUAAGUUGGCUGGAUGCAAUCUUAAAAUUGUUUGGCUUUUAGUUUGGCUGGAUGUAGUAAGUAUGGCCGGAUAUUUUUAUGCUUUGCAAGUAUGAAAAUCGAUUCGUACUAUUGGAGUAUGGAAGAUAUUAUUACUAUGUAUGAUCUAUUGUUAUGGUGAUUAGUGUCCUGGUCUCUAAAGAUAUUUUUCGGUUAUGGAUGAUCUCUUGUUACGACAGUAAUUUUAGGUUGGAUAAAUGGUACUAUGUUGAUGAAUAAACAAUCAAGUCCCGAUCUCUAAAAUUAAGGCUUGACUGUUGUAAUACACUCUGUCUCUGUAGCUACUUUGAGUGCACAUAUGAUGGACUUUUAGAUUGUCAAAUUUGUUCAACUGAUUUGACAUGAAAAUAACUCUGACUAUGCAUGGAUACUUCAUAUUGUCUAUUUUUCUUAAUAGAACCGGGAUGAAAAUUACUUUCGCUAUCGAUGCUAGGUGAUGCAUAAUUUCAGAUUUUCCAUUUUGUUCCAAUUUUAAGUUGGAUAAAUAAUUGGAUAAACAAACAAUUAAUUGAAUAAGCAGUUGGAUAAAUAAUUUUAACCCAAUGUCCAACAUUACAAAAAGCUACCACUUCUACUAGUACAACUUCUACGCGGCUAAGGUCUGCAUCAUGCUCUCAUACAGAGAUUGUAGUGCUAUUGUUACAACAUUUAGUUGGAUAAAUAAGGUAUUAUCUUGAUGAAUGAACAAUCAAUUCCUGGUCCAUAUAGCUACUUCGAUUGCACAUGUGAUGGACUUUUCGAGUGCACAAUCAUGAUGAUUUCUUGUACCAGAUGAUGAUUUUGAUCAACUAUUUGGUACAAAAAUUACUCUAGCCAUGGAUACCAGAUGACGGAUAAUUUACAUUCUUUAUUUUAUGAUGCAUGGCCAGAGAGUAAUGCUGGAAGUGGCAUGAAAAUUACUCGAUUCUAGAUGAUGCAUUUUUAGAUUUUCAAUGUUGUUCCAAUUUUAAAUUGGAUAAACAAAUGAUGAACUCAAUACUAGUUGGAUAAACAAUGUCAACCCAAUGUCCAGCAUUACAAAAGUUGUCACAUCUAACGUUAGAACUUCUAGUCGGCUAAGAUCUGCAAGAUGUUCUCAUAGAGUUCGCGAUCACAAUCUAAAACAUUCGGAAGAUUUCCUGCAUGUUCUAGGCCAUCCUUGUAUAUGUGAGGGAUUUUGUAGUCGUUGCCUCCACCUCUCUUCAUGACCUCAGUUAAGCAAUUGUGUAGUGUAAGAAAAAUCCUGUUUAUCUUAUCGGCAUCAUAGGCAUCAUAUUCCCGCUGCACAUUGCUGAUUAGCUCAUCUAAAUUGUUAGAUACCAAUCUAUCUGACAUGGACUAUAGUGAGGAAAAUAUGCCAAGGUCUAGGAUAUUCAUAUUCGUGAGUUCGAAGGCUGUUGCAUGAGGCGAAUAUCAAGCCCAGUUUGGGCAACAACAUUAAGGAAACGUGGGUCAUUACUUGGGACAUGUGAGGGUGCAUUGUCUUGCUAGAUCCAUAUCGUCUCACCUGCGAGCUCUUGAGGCCAAACUGCUUGAAUAGCUGGUAGUACCUUUUGAAUCAAACACUCCCUUGAUACAUCUCUCUUAACUGAGAUUGUUUUCGUGAUUAGUGUCCCUCUUGGACGGUAAUCACUUUUCCUUGGCGCUGGCUCCUACAACCACCAAAGCAACUGAAGUUAGAUCAAGUACUGAUGUGCAUAAUAAAUAAAAGGACUACAGGUUCAAAUUAACCUUUUUGAUAAAGGGCCAAAUGCCUAUCUUCCCAUCAAAAAUGCAAAUACCUUCUGCAAUAUAUCUAGGCAUCGCUAUAGCAACCAAAAACAUUAUUUUGCCAAUGGAGUUCUUAUUUUGCACGGUCCUAUGUGGGUCUUCUUCCGAUGGCAGCUUGUAGAAUUUCAUGGUCUUUUGAGUGGUGUUAAACCACUUUUAAUCUAUAUGUAUUAUGUUAUGCAUAUCCUUGAACGUCAGCCUAUUUUUCAAACUUUGUUGGUCAAACAUAGAGAGACAAAACCGCAGCCUAGCCUUUUUGCUUCCUUCAAAUAUGGUUUGAGUGAGCUUGAAUGCCUAUCGAGCAAGCCGUCCGUAAACAUCCUAUGUAGUGUACUUUUCUUCACACCCAAAGCUCUUGCGAGACUGCGUAUAGUUCUCCUUUGGCUGCAAUGAAUCUCAGGAACCAUACUAAGGUCAACUACAAUCCUUUUGCACCCAUAGUUUUUCGGCUUCCUUGAUCUUACAUCAACGGGUAUGCCUUGUCGAAGGCACUCCUUCACUCUCCUCCAAACACGUCUGACCUUCUGCACCGAAACAUGGAACAUGUCUGCAACUUCUAUGGUUGUGGUCUUCUUUAAUUUUCGAUUGACACUUCUUGCUAGCAAUUCUUCAUAAAUACCGGUCCUUUGCAAAUCUAUUAAGUUCUUGUAUUUUCCUUCAUCGUGAAUUUGCUCAUUACCUUGUUGCUCUUGCUCCACAUAAAUGUCUUCUUCUGGUGUUGAAUCAUACAUGGCUUCAUCUGUUGAAUCGUCAAGCUCUUCUUCCUCAAAUUGAGUCUCUAUAUCGCCUGCAUAAACACCAUAGUCUUCCUCGUCAACUUGAAGGUUAUGUAGAGCUUCAUCCAUUGCUUGCACUUCCUCUUCCAUGCUCUGGAAAACACCGCCUUGGUCUUCAAGUUCAUGGUCUACAUGGUGAGGUUAUGUUAUAUUCUCCAUGGGCAACAUCGGCCUCAUGUUCCUCUUCUCCAUGGGCAAUGUCGGGCUCAAGUUCGUCCUCUAUGCUGAAGAAGAAUCAUCAGCAUGUGCACAUGAACAAGGAGAACAAAGGAGUAGACGAUCAAGAUGUACCUGGGUUCAUGUUCAGAUCGAUUUGGUGACCAACCUGGAGCUCUUCCUCAUGCAAGGGAGACUCGUGUUCAUAUUCUCUGAUGAAUUGGUGGCCGACCUGGAGUACUUCAUGCAAGUGAGGCUCAAAACUGACAUGGAGUUCUUCAUGCAAGGCAGCCUCAAGUUCGUCCUCUAUGGCAAAGAAGAAGAAUCAGCAUGCACACAUGAACAAGGAGAACAAGUGAAAAGAUGAUCAAGGUGUAUCUGGGUUCAAGUUCAGAUUGAUUUGAUGACCAACCUGGAGCACUUCUUCAUGCAAGGGAGUCUCAUGUUCGACUUCUCCCUCUUCUGGUGCUAUGUUGAAGUCAAUGGCCAUGGUCUGUCUGUGUGUUGUACUACUUGGUCUCAUGCUAGUAUGCUCACUUUAUAGCUAUGUAUAGUCUCUUGGUCUUCUAAAUUUGAAAUCUGGGCUCAAUUCUGUAAUCUGGCGCUUCUAAUUCUAUAAUCUAGCGCCAUAUUGUACUAGUACCCAGCUACUAGUUGUACAUGGCGGGAAGUGCUGUGGCGGGAAGAAAAUUCUAUUGGCAAACUUGUGUUUUACUACUC